AAUGCACAAUAAUUUCUUGUCAUAUCAGCGCAAAUGCACAUAAAAUACGUACGCAUUUGCACUGUCACAGCAAUCGAUUGCUGCACGUAUCGUUUUUAAAGGUGAAUGCAAACUUGCGCACCAGUUAUCUGCAGCCCUGCCUAUAUCUACCCUUAAAAGUGACGCCAUAACAGCCAUUCCUGGUUGACGCUCAAGAGAGGCAAAGAUUCAAACAGUCAACGCCACUCUGAUUGGCUGAGGCAACAAGCCAGACAUUUUGGCGCGAUACGGCAUGUUCAAGGCAAUGGAAACGGCCGCACGGAUUUUCAGCCUGCUUCGCAAGUUCACUACCUAAAUCCCUAUAUUGAGUCCACCCAUCGUUUUCCUGUAAACUGAAGAAGGAGUCUUGAAAUUUGAUGAGGCCGCCACUGAAGAGUACAUCAAGAUGCAUGUUUCAGAGCACCUCAAGCAUGCACCUCAAAGACAUGGAGGUGGAGUAUUCACUCAGGACUGAUAAGCCCAGCCUACAGGACUUUGAACCAGAAUUGUUGUACCCCAUGUUCGUUCUGAAAACCAUGUGAAAACUGAGUAGUGCAGAGCAGCCUGUAGCAGUUUUAAGUUGUAGGAUCUCUAGAAUGUCUUUCAACUGGUGCCAUGAUGAUGCUGCUGCAGUUCCAAGUUCUCUGUUCAGAUGACAACUGUCACUCUGCCCGUGUCUCUCUCACACACACACACUUUUCCCAAAUCAGUUAAAUUUAUAGGCCUUACUUUGUGCCCUGAUGUCUUCCUUUAUUACCAAUGUUAUGUGUCAAUGGUGCUGAACUGUGUCUGGCUUGGUUUAAGGACUAAAGGCCAGGGGUCACAAAGUGUAUUAGGUCAGGUAUAUAGACACAUUUCAGAGCUUCACAAUGUUUUGGAUGACAACCAGCAGCCCUGUUUGUUUUAUUAUUAUUAUUAGUAGUAGUAAUAUUAUUUUUUAAUAAAGGUUUAAAUGGG